rnacentral:lncRNA from 1 species
CAGCCUCGGCAAUCUUAAUUCGAUUCUCGGGUUUGUUUUUGGCGAGGAGUCUGAGCUCCAAGGUGGCUUGUUUUUGGUCUUCAGGGGAUGGAGAAUUAAGAUCGGAGACGAGCUGGCGGAUCAGUUCGUCAGAGGAGCUGUUGUUGUUGUUUUCGGAGGAGGCGCAAGCGAUAAGUAGACGUUGGCUCUGGGAAGAAGCGGUGGGGAAUUCGCCAGAUCUGUCGCUGUUGCAGUCGCUGAAAGCUGAGGAAGAACCAUCGUGGAUGCUGAGGCCGCUGAAGCUUCGCCCCAUAUAGGUAAAACUAUUGGACUGGACCUCUGUUUCCAUUUCUAGUGCAAAAAAUGGGAUUAGUACAUCAAGAAUUAGGUGGAUGGAGCCUGGAGGGGAUGUGAAGACCGAAAACGACAGCGUUUGAGGUUGUAUGGGCCCUUUUGAGGUAGUUACCUGUAUAAGACCUAGCUAUGAGUUGAUCAUAACCAUUUUCAUGGAGCUAGCCAGCAAGGGGGU